AAGAUGGAGAGUUUGAUCCUGGCUCAGGAUGAACGCUGGCGGCGUGCUUAACACAUGCAAGUCGAACGAGAACCUUCGGGUUUUAGUGGCGGACGGGUGAGUAACGCGUGAGGAUCUGCCCUUAGAUGGGGGAUAACAGUUGGAAACGGCUGCUAAUACCGCAUGAGCCGAGAGGUAAAAGAUUAAUUGUCUAGGGAUGAACUCGCGUCUGAUUAGCUAGUUGGUGGGGUAAGAGCGUACCAAGGCAGUGAUCAGUAGCUGUUCUGAGAGGAAGACCAGCCACACUGGGACUGAGACACGGCCCAGACUCCUACGGGAGGCAGCAGUGGGGAAUUUUCCGCAAUGGGCGAAAGCCUGACGGAGCAACGCCGCGUGCGGGAGGACGGUUUGUGGACUGUAAACCGCUUUUAAUAGGGAAGAAUUGUGACGGUACCUAUUGAAUAAGCAUCGGCUAACUCCGUGCCAGCAGCCGCGGUAAUACGGAGGAUGCAAGCGUUAUCCGGAAUUAUUGGGCGUAAAGGGUCCGCAGGUGGUUAAUUAAGUUAGCGGUUAAAGAUUCGGGCUUAACUCGGAGAGUGCCGUUAAAACUGAUUGACUAGAGUACGGUAGGGGCAGAGGGAAUUCCUAGUGUAGCGGUGAAAUGCGUAGAUAUUAGGAAGAACACCAGUGGCGAAGGCGCUCUGCUGGGCCUGUACUGACACUGAGGGACGAAAGCUAGGGGAGCGAAAGGGAUUAGAUACCCCUGUAGUCCUAGCCGUAAACGAUGGAUACUAGGUGUUGCUCGUAUCGACCCGAGCAGUAUCGUAGCCAACGCGUUAAGUAUCCCGCCUGGGGAGUACGCACGCAAGUGUGAAACUCAAAGGAAUUGACGGGGGCCCGCACAAGCGGUGGAGUAUGUGGUUUAAUUCGAUGCAACGCGAAGAACCUUACCAGGGAUUGACAUCCUACGAAUCUUUCAGAAAUGAGAGAGUGCCUUCGGGAACGUAGAGACAGGUGGUGCAUGGCUGUCGUCAGCUCGUGUCGUGAGAUGUUGGGUUAAGUCCCGCAACGAGCGCAACCCACGUUUUUAGUUGCCAUCAUUCAGUUGGGCACUCUAGAGAGACUGCCGGUGACAAACCGGAGGAAGGUGUGGACGACGUCAAGUCAUCAUGCCCCUUACGCCCUGGGCUACACACGUACUACAAUGCAUUGGACAAAGGGCAGCGAGCCAGUGAUGGUGAGCAAAUCUCGAAAACCAAUGCACAGUUCAGAUUGUAGGCUGCAACUCGCCUACAUGAAGGAGGAAUCGCUAGUAAUCGCAGGUCAGCAUACUGCGGUGAAUACGUUCCCGGGCCUUGUACACACCGCCCGUCACACCAUGGAAGUUGGUUUCGCCCGAAGCCGUUACUCCAACCUUUUCGGAGGAGGAGGACGUCGAAGGCAGGGCUGAUGACUGGGGUGAAGUCGUAACAAGGUAGCCGUACCGGAAGGUGUGGCUGGAUCACCUCCUUA
rnacentral:rRNA from 1 species